GACGAAGGGGGCUAGCGUUGUUCGGAAUUACUGGGCGUAAAGCGAGUGUAGGUGGUUGUCACAGUCAGGUGUGAAAGCCUUGAGCUCAACUCAAGAAAUGCACUUGAUACUAGGCGACUAGAGGACCGGAGAGGAUAGUGGAAUUCCCAGUGUAGUGGUGAAAUACGUAGAGAUUGGGAAGAACACCAGUGGCGAAGGCGGCUAUCUGGACGGUUUCUGACGCUAAGACGCGAAAGCGUGGGGAGCAAACAGG
rnacentral:rRNA from 1 species